UUGAUCAAAUAUUUAUUAUGUAGCUUUGGGAACGUUACGCAGAUGUUCCUUUAAGAGGGGAAUAUGAGACAGAAAUCUCCAAUCAGUUUGAAACACCAUUUAGUUCUACACCUGUUAGAAAUAACGUUCCCGCUGGUAGGAGACGAACUCAUUGGUCACGUAAUGCUCAAGAUACACGUCGUUCUAAUAGCAGUCGUGGACGACAAGAAGUAAUGCCUGUGUCUGUAGAGAAUUUCAUACAAGAUUUUAUACUUAAUCUCUCAGAAGGAGUAGCACAAGCUGCACAACUACCUGUGUAUGUAUAAUAUUAAUCUUUAUUAUACAUUUAUUCUUAUUUAUCUAAUGUAUACAAGCAUGUAUGCAUAUAAUUGCUCAAGUUCAGAAGAUUUUCAAGGCAAAUCAAAUCUUUUAACUUGUAUAAUAUAAAAAAGGGAACCACA